rnacentral:rRNA from 1 species
CGGGUGCCGCCGGCGCGUUCCGGCACACGUCGGGCGUGUCGACGGUACCCGCGACGCUGCGUUCUUCCUCCGGGGAGAGCGCGCGUCCGCGACCGUGACCCAAACCAAACGAUCGAAGUGAGCUCGUGCUCGAUGGUUUUGCAUGGAAUCGUGGAACGGGACCCUGGCUCGCGUUUCGCACGCGUUCCGCGAGAGCCAGGGCGACGAUCAACGGGAGCGGUCGGAGGCGAGGGAACUGCCGGGCGAGGGGUAAAAUCUGAUGAGCCUGGCAAGACCACCGAAAGCGAAGGCACUCGCCGAGGCCGUUUCCGUCGAUAAAGAACCGAAGCCACCAUAGACAAUGGGAUUAGAUACCCCAGUAUCGGUGUGCCCCAAACUAUGCCGUCCGGCUGGACGUCGGCUAACAUUGUGGCCGGCGUUCGGUCCGAGGAAGCUGGAGCGAUUUGGCUUCUGGGAGAUUACGGCUGCAAAGCUGAAACUUAAAGGAAUUGACGGAAGGGCACCAUCAGGUCUGGAUUGUGCGGCUCAAUUGGAUUCGACGCCCGACACCCCACCAGGACAGGAGCGCCCGAUGAAGCACCGGUCGCUCAAUUGGAUUUGACGCCCGACACCCCACCAGGACAGGAGCGCCCGAUGAAGCACCGGCCGAAUACCUCUGCCGAUGGGCGUGCGGGUGGUGCAUGGCCGCCGUAGUUCGUGAGGUGACUUGUCUGGUUGGUUCCGACAACGAACGCAACCGCCGUGCCCCGCUACGACCCGAGGCCCACGACCGCGUUUCGGCGCGGUCUCCUCGGUUCGAUCCGGAGCAGACUAACCCGCGAAUGGGUCUUCAGACCCAAAGUGGGAGUAAGCUACGGCGAUGGCAGGUCCGUAAUGCCCCCAGAUGCUCUGGAUAGCACGCGCCAUACAAUGCCUGCUCGAGCGCGACGCUGCCCCGAGAGGGGAUCGGCGAAUCCGCGGAAAAAGCGGGCCCC